rnacentral:rRNA from 1 species
AAUCAACGCUGGCGGCGUGCCUCAGACAUGCAAGUCGAACGCGAAAGUUCCCUUCGGGGGAUAAGUAGAGUGGCGUCCGGGUGAGUAACACGUAGGUAAUCUACCUUUGGGUGGUGAAUAACAACCGGAAACGGUUGCUAAUACCGCAUAAUGCAGCGGCACCACAUGGUGACAGUUGUUAAAGCGGGGGAUCGCAAGACCUCGCGCCUAAAGAGGAGCCUGCGGCGGAUUAGCUAGNGGUAGGGUAACGGCCUACCAAGGCAACGAUCCGUAGCCGGCCUGAGAGGGCGGUCGGCCACACUGACACUGAAAUACGGGUCAGACUCCUACGGGAGGCAGCAGUCGGGAAUUUUGGGCAAUGGGCGAAAGCCUGACCCAGCAACGCCGCGUGAAGGAUGAAAUCCCUCGGGAUGUAAACUUCGCAAGAACAGGAAGAAUAAGUAGGGGACAAUACCCCCUAUGAUGACGGUACUGUUUGUAAGCUCCGGCUAACUCCGUGCCA